rnacentral:rRNA from 1 species
UGAGUAACCUGCCCAUGACUCUGGAAUAACUGCGGGAAACCGGGGCUAAUACCGGAUACGAGUCCGAGCGGCAUCACGCGGACUGGAAAGUUUCUCGGCUAAGGAUGGACUCGCGGCCUAUCAGCUUGUUGGUGGGGUAAUGGCUUACCAAGGCGUCGAUCGGUAGCUGGUCUGAGAGGACGACCAGCCACACUGGGACUGAGACACGGCCCAGACUCCUACGGGAGCAGCAG